rnacentral:lncRNA from 1 species
ACGACUCUAAAACUCUAAGACUUAGCUAUGAUGUUUUCUAAGUGAAAUGGAUGAAAGUAUGAGAUGAAUAAAAGUAAUUUGAAUCUCUAAGACGAUGUCUAGGGUUGAUUGGACACUGAUGUCUCCGAUUUUUAUUAUAUCCAACACAACACAGCACACUCCUAAAAGUAAUUUGAAUAGCUUGGAGCUAAAGAAACUAAGAAAAUUGGAUUGUUGGAAAAAGGUUAAACCUGAAAGAAAUUAGAGCUAAAUAUUAGUAACAAAAAUAACCUCAAAUAUUAGUAACAAAAUAAUAUAUACUCUAAACACAUAAACUACUACAAAUAUACAUUAAGUUGUAAGACAAAAAGAUCGAACCCACUGGAAGUGUGGUGUUGUUACUCUGUGCAACUUUUCAAUGAGAAAAUUUGUUUGUUAAAAAAAGAGGAGAAAUCAUUUAAUGGUUUCAACCGUUAAAAUUAAAGUUUAAAAACAAUAAAGAUACCUGC